GCAUCCGUAGCCGGCUGUUCAAGUUUCCGGUUAAAUCCACACGUUUAACGUAUGGGCUGCCGGAAAUACUGUUCAGCUAGGGAGUGGGAGAGGUGGACGGUACUCGGUAGGAAGGGGUAAAAUCCUUUGAUCUAUUGAUGACCACCUGUGGCGAAGGCGGUCCACCAGAACACGUUCGACGGUGAGGGAUGAAAGCUGGGGGAGCAAACCGGAUUAGAUACCCGGGUAGUCCCAGCUGUAGACGAUGCAGACUCGGUGAUGCAUUGGCUUGUGGCCAGUGCAGUGCCGCAGGGAAGCCGUUAAGUUUGCCGCCUGGGAAGUACGUACGCAAGUAUGAAACUUAAAGGAAUUGGCGGGGGAGCACAAGCC
rnacentral:rRNA from 2 species